CUCGGCCUCCCCCGCCGCUGAUGCUCCCGUCCCAGAGAGGUGUCCUCCCUCGCGCAAGAGGCGCGAACGACAGGAGAGGUGCCCAGUGGGUUUUGGAGUCCCAGCUUCUCCCUGGGAAGAGUACCAAGGAAGAAUUCGAUUACUUGAUCCAGAGUCUCAGAGCACCAAAGCUGGUCCUGCAACAUCUGAGAAAUAUAAGAAAAAGAAACCUGCUUCUUCCCACUGCUUUCAAAAAGGAGUUGAUGGGGUACUUGCCACCAACAAAAAAUUCCUCUGUCAUGAGACUGCUGAAGUCAGUGGCUGUGCAGCCUGAGUCCCAGGAUAAGAUAAUUAUUACUCUGAUCUGGUAAUGAAAGUUAUUGUAGCAUAUAUGAUCAAAAUGGACCUUGUCCAUAAUUUGUAGCAUAGCAACUAGGUAAGUGAAGAAAAAACCCAGUUGAUGUAUCUGCCAGUAAUUGAUUUUUUUCCCUGUAUAAGGAAGAGCUGAUUAUGCAACAACGCAAUCCUUGGGAUUAUUAAGGAAAAAAAUAAAAUAAAAUAAAAUAAAAUAAAAUAAAAUAAA
rnacentral:lncRNA from 1 species